ensembl:lncRNA
AUUUGCCCACAUAGCAUUUCUCCAUCCUGGCUUGCUGGCCAGAUCUGACGGGUGCCUUUACAGGGAGGACUGGGGAACGGUCUGGUUUCUUUGCCUCCUGCAGGCUCAGGGACCUCUGCCUUACUCUCCCAGUGUCACUGAUCUCUGCCAGCAGCUGCUGCCUGUCGCGCCUGCACAUACCCCCAUCUUGCUGUUCUUUGCUCUGCCAAGCUUUGCUCUCUCUGUAUACCACCUGUGGAUGCUGUUUCUCUGCUCACUGUGAGCUUUUAGGGGCCGGUGGAGAGCUUGCUCUAGAUGCUGCCCCUUGUGGGUUCCACAAUCUGUUCCUUCUUUCUCUUCCCCUCAGUCCUUGGCUGGAUACAUUUUAGUUUUUCAUACACCAUCUCUACCUCCAAGUACCUCUUCAAACUCGCACUUGGAUCCCUCACACUUCUCAGCAGCCUCCUGCAGUUUGACUUCCACAAGGACCUCGCAUGUGCAGAGCACCGAAGAAAUGGCAGCUGGAUGCUGAGCAGAGCCGUGCAGGGAGCUGCCCUCCACCAGCCUGUGGGGCAGCAAAGGGAUCUCCGCACUGCCCUCACAACAGUGAACAUGUUAGAGGGAAACCAUCUCCACUGCAGCAGUGCACGUGUCCUGGAUGUAAUCCUGCCAAAAAAGGAGCAUGAGGUGCCCCAGGCUCUCAGCAAUACCCUGGAGCACAGAGGAUUUACUACUUGUGCAGAAGCUAUUGGAGAAGAGGAACUAGAUUUACCUGCACCCUGCCACACUCCGACCAUGAUUUGUAUCUGCUCAUGUUGAUUUGUAUCACAAGGAGUUUUCAUUUCAGCGAGUUUGCAAAAUAUCAGCAUCUGCCCGGAGAGAGGCAGUGCAAGGAUUCAGCUCACUGCUGCUGAACGGGCAAACUCCCAGGUGAAAGCCUGUGUUCUCUUCACCAACAUCUCCAUCUUUCACUGCGAUCCGCUCAUUUCAGGUCCAGUCAGGAACUCAGCUGUCCAAGGAGAACAGAGAACUCGUGCUUCCACCUGGACCAGGAGCGUUCCUCCUGUGGCCAGCCUGGCUCCGGUUGGUACACGUGGCUGUUCUGAGGGACACGCAAGACAUGGCGAUGGGCUGUCACUGCCAUGCCAAGGGGAACACAGGCCAAAGAGAAGAAUUGAAAAGCCUGUUUGGCUGAGGCAGCACACUGUUGUGCCAUGCGGGCCGCUACAAAGAGCCCAGGAGAUAUCAGCAGAUUAUUUACGGUGGUCAUUACCUGCAGCUUCCAGCACCUUCUGGCUAUCCAAACUUAGGGAGGAAAUUAGGGAGAUUAAUUCUUUCUUCAGUGAAAAGAUUAAUAACUCUAAUUAAUUGAGG